UAGGGAAUCUUCCGCAAUGGGCGAAAGCUUGACGGAGCAACGCCGCGUGAGUGAUGAAGGUCUUCGGAUCGUAAAACUCUGUUAUUAGGGAAGAACAAAUGUGUAAGUAACUAUGCACGUCUUGACGGUACCUAAUCAGAAAGCCACGGCUAACUACGUGCCAGCAGCCGCGGUAAUACGUAGGUGGCAAGCGUUAUCCGGAAUUAUUGGGCGUAAAGCGCGCGUAGGCGGUUUUUUAAGUCUGAUGUGAAAGCCCACGGCUCAACCGUGGAAGGUCAUUGGAAACUGGAGAACUUGAGUGCAGAGGAGGAAAGUGGAAUUCCAUGUGUAGCGGUGAAAUGCGAAGAGAUGUGGAGGAACACCGGUGGCGAAGGCGACUUUCUGGUCUGUAACUGACGCUGAUGUGCGAAAGCGUGGGGAUCAAACAGG
rnacentral:rRNA from 1 species